rnacentral:rRNA from 1 species
CUACGGGCGGCAGCAGUGGGGAAUUUUGCGCAAUGGGGGGAACCCUGACGCAGCAACGCCGCGUGCGGGGCGGAGGCCUUCGGGCCGUAAACCGCUUUCAGCAGGGAAGAAACAUGACGGUACCUGCAGAAGAAGCUCCGGCUAACUACGUGCCAGCAGCCGCGGUAAUACGUAGGGGGCGAGCGUUAUCCGGAUUCAUUGGGCGUAAAGCGCGCGUAGGCGGCUGCCUAAGCGGAGUUUCUAACCCCGGGGCUCAACCGCGGGCCGGACUCCGAACUGGGCGGCUCGAGUGCGGUAGGGGCAGGCGGAAUUCCACGUGUAGCGGUGAAAUGCGCAGAUAUGUGGAGGAACACCGAUGGCGAAGGCAGCCUGCUGGGCCGACACUGACGCUGAGGCGCGAAAGCCGGGGGAGCGAACAGGAUUAGAUACCCCGGUAGUC